rnacentral:rRNA from 1 species
UAGGGAAUAUUGGGCAAUGGAGGCAACUCUGACCCAGCCAUGCCGCGUGCAGGAUGAAGGCGUUAUGCGUUGUAAACUGCUUUUAUAUAGGAAGAAAGAGUUCUUGCGAGAACAGUUGACGGUACUAUAUGAAUAAGCACCGGCUAACUCCGUGCCAGCAGCCGCGGUAAUACGGAGGGUGCAAGCGUUGUCCGGAUUUAUUGGGUUUAAAGGGUGCGUAGGCGGUUUAUUAAGUCAGUGGUGAAAGACGGUCGCUCAACGAUUGCAGUGCCAUUGAUACUGGUAGACUUGAGUGAGAUUGAGGUAGCUGGAAUGGAUAGUGUAGCGGUGAAAUGCAUAGAUAUUAUCCAGAACACCAAUUGCGUAGGCAAGUUACUAAGUCUCAACUGACGCUGAGGCACGAAAGUGUGGGUAUCAAACA